rnacentral:rRNA from 1 species
CCAAGUUGAUAUUACCGGGCGUAAAGCGUGGUUAAGAUUUUUAUAGAACUAAAGCCGAACCCCUUCAGAGCUGUUAUACGCACCCGAAGGUAAGAAGUUCAACCACGAAAGUGGCUUUACAGCCCCGAACCCACGAAAGCUAAGAUACAAACUGGGAUUAGAUACCCCACUAUGCCUAGCCGUAAACAUUGGUAGUAUGUUACAUCCACUACCCGCCCGGGUACUACGAGCAUCAGCUUGAAACCCAAAGGACUUGGCGGUGCUUUAGACCCACCUAGAGGAGCCUGUUCUAGAACCGAUAACCCCCGUUCAACCUCACCUUCCCUUGUCUUCCCCGCCUAUAUACCGCCGUCGUCAGCUUACCCUGUGAAGGUUAAAUAGUAAGCAAAAUUGGUAAAACCUAAAACGUCAGGUCGAGGUGUAGCGUAUGGGGAGGGAAGAAAUGGGCUACAUUUCCUGCCACAGGAAAUACGAAUGGUGUGCUGAAACGCACAUCUGAAGGAGGAUUUAGCAGUAAGCAGGAAAUAGAGCGUUCCGCUGAAAUUGGCCCUGAAGCGCGCACACACCGCCCGUCACUCUCCCCAAGCCUAUAAACCUAAGUAACUAAAACCUUACAAUCGCGAAGGGGAGGCAAGUCGUAACAUGGUAAGUGUACCGGAAGGUGCACUUGGAAAAAU